UAUAAUGAAAAAUCCCCUACUCAGAUGCACAUUUCUUCACUUACUUGCUGACUGGCAAAAUCCAGUACCUUGUGAUAGUUGUUCAGCUGAGGAAAUCACUGCCCAGCUUAAGACUGACCAAAUGUGGACAGAAGCAGUCCUGCCAAGUGAGUCUGUCCUCCAAGUCCAAGCAUUGUGAUGAUUUCUGACAACUCAGCAGCUUUACAGCAUUUUCUUCUGCAUGAACAAUAGAGUAAUACUGGAAGCUGAACUUACUUGACUGCUAUCUCUGCAAAUCAAAAUAUGACUUCUUCCUUCCUGUAUGUGGGCUGAGUAACUUCAGCUGCUCUUGGGUGAACAGCAAAGACCAAGGCUCUUUUUUUCACACUGAUUACGUGUGCUGUAUGCUACGGGUGCAUGAAAUGGCGAUAAAGGGAGGAGGAAUCACCAAACUAAGACAUUACAAGGUGAGCGCAACAGAAUUAAGGAUUACAGAUUAAAGCCACGUUACUGCUUCCAAACAAGAGAGUAAUCAGAGAGUGAGCUCAUUACCUCUCCAAGACACCAUAUUUCAGCCAUUACUACAUUCUUUUGAUACCCUCUAUAAGUAACCUUCAAAAGAGGUGCUUAGCAAGAUGUCCAACAGCAGCUUAACCCAGCAGAAUCAGUCUACAAUCAGGACAAUGCUGGACACCUCAGACAGGCUUCGCUCUAUUCUCAUAAUCCUGUACAGCAUUGACCUAGCUGGGGGUACACUUGGUGUCCUUGUGAUGUCUCGCCAGUUGUUUCGAAGGAGAUCCCAAUCUGCCAUGAUUAUCAUCAUAAUCAACCUCCUAGUGCUGCAUACCCUUCUGUUACUCAGCAUCCCCUUCCGCCUCAGCUAUUACGUUUCACAGGAAUGGAAAUUUGGGACAUUCACUUGCAAGCUAGUAAGUGCCACCAUCUACCUCCACAUGUACACCACCUUCACCUUUUAUGUUGCUAUCAUCAUAAUGCGUCUCUUUCAACUUGAGUUCAACAAGUGCUACACUACGAUUUGGGUGACAGCUGUCUGGAUGCUAGGAGCUCUGGUGAUUGCUCCUGUUUUUCUCUCUUACUAUGGCACCUCUAGAACAUAUCCUUCCUCUCAAUGUUUUCAGUUCCAGAAGGAGAUGGAAGAGAUGCCGAUGGUGGUAGUAAACUACUGCUUGAUUGGAGUUCUGCUUGCAGUUUGUGGUUUGCUCACUAUAAUCCAAUUAUCUGUGAUGUGCAGACUGACUGUGAAAUACUGGCCUGAAAUCAACUCCCAUGUGGAAUUCAGGGCUCAGGCAAAGAGUUUCUUCUUCACCUUGGUAACAAUAGUGUGUUUUACACCUCAUCAUGUAUUCAGAGUAUAUUAUAUUCAAAACUUCCACCUAGAUAAAGACCAUAAACUUCUCACAUACAAUGAAAUUUUUUUAGCUUUAACAACAAUGUGCUGCUUGGAUAUGUUGUGCUUCAUAGCAGGCAUAGCCCACUGAACUAUCAGGAAAUCCAACUAACAGUGUGGCAGUACUGGCUCUUGGCAGAAAAAACUGUGUCAGGACUUUACUGGGCCAGGGGGACUGCUGAGUUUUAAGCAUAGCUAUAUAGGAUUGUAGUAGUUUCCAGCUUUUACAGGCUAGAAAGAUACAUCUUUCAGAAGCUACUGUUUUUCACCUUCUUCCUUGAAGGCAGACAGAUUAACCUUACUCUGGACUUUGACCUAAAUGUCAUGCUGUGAAUCUUCAUUAAGAUUUUCCUCAGCUGUCUCUCUCUAACCAUUGCAGUAGAACUAUCCAUCAUCUUUUUUCCCCUCAGAGCAUCUCAAUAACGAAACAUUGUGCCUGAUAAAAUUAUCCACUGUGAAAAUCUAACAACGUCUUUUGACAGCUUUGAUGCCAAAGGAAAGAGGAAAGAAAGACAUUUCUUUACAGUAUUUUUCCACAAAGGAUUUUAGAUCACAAGGACGCAAACUAUACUAAAAAUCAUAUUCAAGGCAUGAAACAGGGCAUGAAUUAAAAGUUUUAGCUGAGUAUUUUAGAAGAAGCUUUUUUUCUUCACCUCUACAAAGUGUAUAUUAAACCAAGAUUAAGAUUAACAACUUCAUUUUUACUUGCUCCAUUUAAAAAAAUACAAGCAGCCCCCUGAAUUGCAGUUCUUACUCCUCUAGAAUUAGCAAGAGUUGAACAGGUCACAGGUUUAAAAAAAAAAAAAAA